rnacentral:rRNA from 1 species
GACGAACGCUGGCGGUGUGCUUAACACAUGCAAGUCGUGCGACGAACCAGACUUCGGUCUGGGGCAAAGCGGCGAACGGUGAGUAACACGUGGGUAAUCUGCCCCCGAUGACUGGGACAACCCGAGGAAACUCGGGCUAAUACCGGAUGUGGUGCCUGGACUCAAGUCCGGUCACUAAAGGUAGCUUCGGCUUCCGCAUUGGGAGGGCCCCGCGGGCCCCAUUUAGCUUGUUGGUGGGGUCAAGGCCUACCAAGGCAACGAUGGGUAGCUGGUCUGAGAGGACGAUCAGCCACACUGGGACUGAGACACGGCCCAGACUCCUACGGGAGGCAGCAGUGGGGAAUCUUGCGCAAUGCGCGAAAGCGUGACGCAGC